rnacentral:rRNA from 1 species
UACGGGAGGCAGCAGUGGGGAAUAUUGCACAAUGGGCGCAAGCCUGAUGCAGCCAUGCCGCGUGUAUGAAGAAGGCCUUCGGGUUGUAAAGUACUUUCAGUCGUGAGGAAGGUGUUAAGGUUAAUAACCUUAGCAAUUGACGUUAGCGACAGAAGAAGCACCGGCUAACUCCGUGCCAGCAGCCGCGGUAAUACGGAGGGUGCGAGCGUUAAUCGGAAUUACUGGGCGUAAAGGGCACGCAGGCGGUUAAUUAAGUUGGAUGUGAAUCCCCGGGCUUAACCUGGGAAUGGCAUUCAAGACUGGUUAGCUAGAGUCUUGUAGAGGGGGUAGAAUUCCAUGUGUAGCGGUGAAAUGCGUAGAGAUGUGGAGGAAUACCGGUGGCGAAGGCGGCCCCUGGACAAAGGACUGACGCUUAUGUGCGAAAGCGUGGGGAGCAAACAGGGAUUAGAUACC